AUUGAACGCUGGCGGCAGGCCUAACACAUGCAAGUCGAGCGAGCGGCGGACGGGUGAGUAAUAUCUGGGAAACUGCCUGAUGGAGGGGGAUAACUACUGGAAACGGUAGCUCAUACCGCAUACCCUCAGGUGUGCCCAGGUGGGAUUAGCUAGUGGGUGGGGUAACGGCUCACCUAGGCGACGAUCCCUAGCUGGUCUGGAAGGAUGACCAGCAACACUGGAACUGAGACACGGUCCAGACUCCUACGGGAGGCAGCAGUGGGGAAUAUUGGACAAUGGGCGAAAGCCUGAUGCAGCCAGGCCGCGUGUGUGAAGAAGGUCUUCGGGUUGUAAAGCACUUUAAGUGGGGAGGCGUUACCCGCAGAAGAAGCACCGGCUAACUCCGUGCCAGCAGCCGCGGUAAUAC
rnacentral:rRNA from 1 species